AGCAGUCGCCACGGGAAUACGUAGGUGGCAAGCGUUGCCCGGAAUUAUUGGGCGUAAAGGGCUCGCAGGCGGUUUCUUAAGUCUGAUGUGAAAGCCCCCGGCUCAACCGGGGAGGGUCAUUGGAAACUGGGAAACUUGAGUGCAGAAGAGGAGAGUGGAAUUCCACGUGUAGCGGUGAAAUGCGUAGAGAUGUGGAGGAACACCAGUGGCGAAGGCGACUCUCUGGUCUGUAACUGACGCUGAGGAGCGAAAGCGUGGGGAGCGAACAGGAUUAGAUACCCCUGUAGUCCCUGUCUCUUAUAC
rnacentral:rRNA from 1 species